rnacentral:rRNA from 1 species
CGAACGCUGGCGGCAGGCCUAAUACAUGCAAGUCGAACGGCUCUUCGGAGCAGUGGCGGACGGGUGAGUAACGCGUGGGAAUGUGCCCUUUGGUACGGAACAACGCAGGGAAACUUGUGCUAAUACCGUAUGUGCCCUUCGGGGGAAAGAUUUAUCGCCAUUGGAGCAGCCCGCGUUGGAUUAGGUAGUUGGUGAGGUAAAGGCUCACCAAGCCUACGAUCCAUAGCUGGUCUGAGAGGAUGAUCAGCCACACUGGGACUGAGACACGGCCCAGACUCCUACGGGAGGCAGCAGUAGGGAAUCCUGCGCAAUGGGCGAAAGCCUGACGCAGCCAUGCCGCGUGAAUGAUGAAGGUCUUAGGAUUGUAAAAUUCUCUCACCGGGGAAGAUAAUGACGGUACCCGGAGAAGAAGCCCCGGCUAACUUCGUGCCAGCAGCCGCCGUAA